GUCUGUCUCUCUGGCAUGUUUUUAAGUUUUCUGGUUCUUUUGUUCACAACUCGUAUAGGCGGCUGCCGCUUAUCAAAACUUCUUUAAUCCUUCAGAAUAGUAUGUCCAACGGGGUUUAAUCUCUGGCCUGCAAUUAUGGANNNNNNNNNNNNNNNNNNNNNNNNNNNNNNNNNNNNNNNNNNNNNNNNNNNNNNNNNNNNNNNNNNNNNNNNNNNNNNNNNNNNNNNNNNNNNNNNNNNNNNNNNNNNNNNNNNNNNNNNNNNNNNNNNNNNNNNNNNNNNNNNNNNNNNNNNGAAUUUAUGGCAUCCUGUUACGGGCGUUCAGAUAUGAGAUUUAGGAGAAAAACGAUUUUUGUUUCAAUUUUUUCAUGUCAUGGACAUAGAAAGAGUUUUGAAGGGCUCACCAUGGACUUUUAAUAAUCACUUACUGGUUCUACACAUUGAAAAUCCCUUUAAUUUUUACACCUUUCUGGGUGCAAAUUUAUGAUAUUCCAACAGGAUUCUUUUCUGAAAAUUUGGCAAGGUAAUUAGGUGAUUUCUUAGGAAAAUUCCUGGAGUAUGAUGGCUCAGAUCUGGGGAAAGGAAAUAGGAAUUUCAUGCGAAUCAGAGUUCAAUUGGAUGUUCGUCACCCAUUAAAGAGGAAAAAACAGGUUAUGUUCUUCGGGAAUUGUUCAUACGUCAAGUUUAAUUAUGAAAGAUUGACUCUUUUCUGUUUCUAUUAUGGUUGGUUGGGUCACAAUGACUCAUUUUGUGAGGUAAAAAUGGCGUUAGGGGUAGAAGUGGUUGUAAUGGGUUGGGAUUUGUCUUUGUGAGCGCAGUCCAAAAGAGUUUGGCAAUGAACAGUGUUUUGUUAUGCGAAGAUGGAGAAGGUGAUCCAGAUGGAAGUAUUAAUGGUAACCGCAUUUCAAAAUGCAGACCAUGGGGAACGAGAAAUAAUUUGGGAUAUGGAACUGCCAUCGAUCUUGUCCUGGAGAUCAACUUGGAAGGGAAUUUGUCCUCUUCCUCACAAGGUGGAAACAUUUAUUAGCCAAACAGGCCCACUCUGCAAUGGAGCACAAUUUGGAAGAAGGGGUGUUAAUUAGAGAGGAAGGAAAAAAGAGACCUAGGGGGAGAUCGAAGAUUCGAUAACGAGAGAAGUGGUCAAUAUUGUAAUGGUAAGGAAUAGGAGAAUGUAGGACAAUACAUUUUUAUCAUCGGCGGCUGCCAAAAGGCAAAGGGACCGAACGCAAUGAAAAUUUUAAGUUGGAAUGUCCGUGGUUUGGGGAAUCCACAGACAGUUUGGAGGCUUCGACAUACGCUGAAGAAAUAUAAUUCCCAGAUGGUCUUCUUUAUGGAGACAAAGAUAAACAAGAUUCAGAUGGAAAGAGUGCAAAGAAGUUGUGGUUUUGCUAAUGGCAUUGAUGUGGACCCUAAUGGAUCUAGAGGAGGUUUGUGUUUGGCUUGGAGAGGUGAUGCUACUAUCAUGCUUCAGAAUUUUUCAAAAAGGCACAUAGACGUGAUAAUUGAAGAUCCUGAUGACGGGAAAAAAUAGAGAUAUAAAGGCUUUUAUGGCUCUCCUUAUGCACAGGAUAAGGAUGAAUCAUGGAAUCUUUUGAAAAGUCUUUGUAGCAAUGAGGAACUCCCUUGGUUAGUUUGCAGAGAUUUCAAUGAAACCAUGUAUGGUUUUGAAAAGAAAAGGGGUUGCCUAGGGAUGAAAGAAUAAUGGAAUUUCGAAAUGUUCUGGAAGAUUGUCACAUGAUGGAUGUGGGUUAUUCUGGUAAUUGGUUCACUUGGGAGAGAGGAAAUUUGUCAGAAACAAAUAUCCAAGAGCAUUUGGAUAGAGGUGUGGCUAACGAGAAUUGGAUGUCUAUGUUUUCUGAAGCUACAAUUCAUCAUCUAGUGCAUUCUUUCUCUAACUAUUGUCCUCUUUUAGUUACCACAAAAAGAGACGACAACUGGAGGAGUAAGAAAAUAUUUAAAUUUGAGGCUUGGUGGGUUUUGGAGGAGUCAUUAGAUGGUGAAAUUAAAUUCAGAUGGGAAAUGGAAAUAGAAGAUUUAUUGCAGAAAUUGGAAAGUUUAACAAAGGGUUUAGAGAGAUGGGUUGCACGCAUAUGUCAAUCUAGAAAACAAAAGGAGUUUUUAUCCUUCAAACUGUCAUAGCUGAUGGAAGCUUAAAGGAAUGAUAAUAAUUUAGCAGAGCUGAUUGAUGCGAAGCUUCAAUUGAAUUUUGAGAUUGAGAAGUAUGAACGUUACUGGGUGCAAAGAGCUCGAGUUAAUUGGCUGAAAUUUGGGGAUAGGAAUACAACCAUUUUUCAUUAUCAAGCAACACAAUGACGACGAAAAAAUUGUAUUCGGAAAUUGCAGAAUACGGCUAGAAGGGAAACGUAAAAUACACAAGACAUGGAAGAAAUUGCUAGAUCUUAUUUUUAAAAUUUAUUUUCGACUGGGGAAAGGGGACAUUGGUAUUGACCGUUGUAUUUUCGAGGAGGAUAAUUAAAGACUCACGGUGCAAUAUACAAAGGAAGAGAUUUGGGAGGCGUUUACUGGAAUGGGGCUCACAAAAGCACCUGGUGAAGACGAAUUUCCAGUUUUAUUUUAUUAAAAGUGUUUGCAUAUCAUUAGGAAAGAGGUCACAUGCUUUUGUUUACAACAUUUGAACGGAGGUAUAGAGGUUAGUUCAAUUAACACUACUCAUAUUGUGCUUCUUCCUAAAAGAGCUAAUCUACCAAUGUUACUCAUUUUCAACCCAUUAGUUUAUGCAAUGUUCUUUAUAAACUAAUGGCAAAGGUUAUUGCUAAUCGAUUUAAGGAAGUUUUGGAAAAAUACAUUGAUGGUGCACAGGGUGUUUCGAGCCAGGAAGGUUAAUUUCAGACAAUGUUUUGUUGGCAUAUGAAAUUUUACACACUCUAAAACAGAAGAAAUUAGGAAAAAGAGGGUUUAUAGCGAUAAAACUUGAAAUGAGUAAGACGUAGGAUAGAGUUGAAUGGAAUUUUGUACAGGAAAUGAUGGUGCGAAUGGGUUUUGACCCUAGCUGGAUUUAAUCUAUUAUGCAAUGUGUAUCCACAGCAUCUUAUUCAGUCGUCUUUAAUGGUCACGUUGGAGAGAACUUUCGACCAACGAGAGGACUAAGACAAGGUGAUCCCUUGAGCCCGUUUUUAUUUUUGAUAUGUGGAGAGGGCUUAUCUUGCCUUAUGAGACUGACACUAAGAGAAGGACAAUUGUAAGGGGUUAAGGCUAGCAGAAAGGGCCUACAAGUAUCGCAUUUGUUAUUUAAAGAUGAUUAUAUUUUGUUUGGAGAGUCAACUGAAAGAGGAGCUCUUUUACUGAAAGCAAUUUUAUGUGAGCAUGGAACCUAUUCGGGUCAGUGUGUCAAUUUCGGCAACUCAAUCGUUUUCUUUAGAAAUAACACACAGGAGGAAGAAAGACAAUUGGUUACUCGCAUACUCGGUGUUCGUAGUUCAAAUGACCUAGAAUGUUAUCUUGAAUUGCCUAAUAUGGUGGGCAGAAGGAAAAAAUAGUCAUUUCAAAACUUAAAGGACAGGCUUAAACAGCAGAUUGACAACUGGAGUAUUCGGUAUCUCUCUCAAGCUGGGAAAGAAGUUUUCAUUAAGGCUAUUCUUCAAGCAAUACCGACGUAUACAAUGGCCUAUUUUUUACUAGCUAAAUCCUUGUGUGUUGAUCUAGAUAGCAUUAUUGUGAGAUUUUGGUGGCAAGAGGAUUGUGGCAAAAUGGACAUUCUUUGGUGUGCUUGGAGGGAUAUUUGUACCGUAAAAGAAAAUGGUGGUUUGGGAUUUCAAAAUCUUGGGCAAUUUAAUAUUGCUUUAUUAGCCAAGCAAGGUUGGCGACUCAUUAAUUUUCUGAAUUCUUUGUUAGCAUGGGUUUUAAAAGCUAAAUACUACCCGAAUUCAGACUUUAUUAAUGCACAGAUAGGGAAUUUGCCUUCGCUUACCUGGAGGAGCGUUUGGGCAGCAAAAGGGUUACUAAAAAAUGGUCUAUGCUGUAGAGUCGGUAGGGGGAUCAAAUCUCUGUUUGGAAUGAUCGGUGGGUACCAAGAGUUGAUACAGAUAGAAUCAAUAAUAGAUCCAACAAUGCACAAAUCAAGUUAGUUUCGGACUUAAUUGAUGCUUCAAUUAGAAAUUGAAGACAUAUUUAAUAGUCAAUACCUUUCAAGCGGACAUUGCACAGAAGGUUUUGCAGAUCCCUUCGGCGGAAGCUGAACACGAUGAUUUUCAAGUCUGAUGAGGAGAACAGUCCGACGAAUUUUUAGUCAGAAGCGCUUACAAACUAUUACAAGAGGCUAACUUGGAUCCUAGUGCUAAUUUAGUACAUGUCGAAAUUAAAAACUUUUACAGAAAGCUAUGGAAUUUACAUCUUCCUUAAAAAAUUACAAUCACCAUAUGGCGUAUUUCCUGGAACUUUAUCCCUACUCUAACAAAUCUCAGAUCCAAUAGAGUGGCUACAAAUGUUUCUUGUCCUCGGUGUCGAAAUGCUGAAGAGGAUAGCAAUCAUUUUUUUCGGCAAUGCCCUACAAUAAUAGAGGUAUGGCAGAUUUUAAACCACGUGAGAAAGGGAUUUAUUGAAACGAAUUCAAAGUUACAUGGCAGAGAUAGAUGGGCUGGAAGAAAGACCGCUUACCUCAAAUGGUGGUAGAAGACAUACACAACACAAAAGGAACAUGAGAAUAGCUAUUUAUUCGACGCAACUUUCGAUGGAAGAUCUUACAGAUCGACUUCGGGUCUGGUGGUUUGGGGAGUGAUGGGCAAGGUUUUAGCCUUAAAGACUGUCCUACAUUCCAUAAUCUCGUAUCCGUUCAUGACAGAGGCACAAGCAGGUUUACAAGACGUGAAAUUAGGGAUCUCAGUGGGUUUUAACUCAGUAGACAUUAUAGGGGAUUCAAGAAUAGUCAUUAAGAAAUGCAAAUCAACAACGUUAGACAAAUCAGUUAUUGGGGAGAUUAUUCGAGACAUUCAAAGUAGAAAAAAAAAAUUUCAAGAAAUCAAUUUCCAGUUUGUUCAAAGAUCAAGAAUUGGUUAUGCCCACGAACUAGGGAAAGAAGCAUUAAGAAAAAGAGAAGAAAAGUACCUGGAGGGAGCAGCUAUUGUCCACAAUCAACGAGAACAAGAGGAAAGAUGGCCGAGACACCUAGAUUGAAGAGAUUUCCAUAAAAGGUCUACAACAAAAAAAGAUAGUAUAAAUGGAAAAUUUUUUUGAAACUAGCUAUCGAUUAAAGGGCUAGUAUAGAGAUCUGAAAAGACAACAAUUGAUGGAGACUAGAGAUGCUCAUGAAUCGGGCUCGGGCCGGACCCACAAAAAAAUUUCGGCCCGUAUCCUAAGCUCAGGCCUGGCCCGGCCUAAAAUAUGGGCCUGAGAUUUUGUCUAGGCCUGACUCGGGAAAAUAUUCCUAAGCCCGAACCCG
rnacentral:lncRNA from 1 species